AGGCAGUUUUUAUUCAUGUGAAAAUUAAUUAAUCACUAGUCCCCUUAAAAUCUAGCUGGAAUUUUUAGCCGAAAUAUAUGUAGUUUCUUUUAAUUCUUUAUUUGUUUGGCAAGAGUUGGUAGCAUUGAUUUUAGAUAUAUAAGGAUAUUAAAAUCCUUUGAAAAUAAAAGAAGUCACUUAAAAAUUUUAAAUACUGUCUACUCAUUAUUAUAUUUUAAUGGAUAUGUUUGCUGCAGAAGACAGAACAAAAUCUUUCGUUUGGAAUCUUUGUGCUUUAGAGGCAAAACAAGAUCUUUUCAAUAAGAGUACAUUUAAGAUGUUAUUUACCUUCUAUGUUUGAGAGUGAUAGGCCACAGAAUAUCAAAUUGGAGUCUCCUUUGUUUAGAAGCCAUAUGUGUUUCCUUAAGUUACUCAUAUGUUCAGUAAUUAUUUUAUGGAAAAGGGAGAAGUAGAUUCAUAUAUUUAUUCAUCAAACAUUUUCUUAAUGCCUAUUAUGUACAGGGCCUGUGUUAGAUUCUGAACUUAUACACAAAACAGAAGUAGACACGCAGACAGAAAACAAACUUAUGGUUACCAAAGGGGAAAGGGGGGAGAGAGAGGGAUAAAUUGGAAGUUUGGGAUUAACAGAUACCCACUGCUAUGUAUAAAUAGAUAAACAACAAGGACCUACAGGAUAGCACAGGGAACUAUAUUCAAUUUCUUGCGUUAACCUAUAAUGGAAAAGAACCUGGAAAAGAAAUAUAUAUAUAUAUAUAUAUAUAUAUAACCAAAUCACUUUGUUGUACACCUGAAACCAAUACAACCUUGUAAAUCAACUAUAUUUCAAUUAAAAAAAAUUUGGCUAGAUUAAAACAUAAAAAAAGAAAUUCUGAAAUCCAGUAUGCUAAUUAGCAAAGUAACAGAUUCCUGAUUAGAAUUUGCACUGACCACUCUCAGGCCUUUCAUUCUUGAUAGUAAGUGAGUUGAACACCCAGCCCGAGAACUUUUAAGUAUAACAGUGGACUAGCCUGGGAACCAAAGCUUACACGCACUUGCACAUAAAUAACACAGUAUCUCUGAUGGGGCAUUUUUAAGUAAGUCACAGGCUGUGAAACACUGAGUUUUAGUCAACAUGUUCUUCGACUUCAAGUUAGAUGGGGUAUUGCUGUUUACCUCGUAGGCUAAUAUAAGUAAAUACCAGACGCACAGUAAAUGGAAUUCUGCUUGACUUGAGCUGAUAUCUUAUUUUGUCUCUACUGUUUGGUUGUCUGAGAUGCUAAAACAUCAGAAUUAUGGCAAAAUCCAUACUUUUCCACAUGCAGUAGUAUUUUGGGUUCAUCCUAGCUCCAUUCUUCCAUAAUAUUUUAUCUAUGAGGACUAUAUCUCCCAGAGCUCUACAAAUAUUUCUCCUCCUUAUUUUUUGCCUAUUUAUUUUCUGGGGAGGUCUUAGUCUAAUUUUUCACACAAUGAGAUAGACUAAUUAAGAGAAGGGAAACCAAUUCUCAGGUUGCUGCACUGAGGCUGGAGGGAGGUAUGUGUCUUGAUUUCCAGUUGGUGAAUGUUUUGUUCUUCUGAGUAAGUGGCAGACGUGGGGUAAGGGUAAAGGUUUCUCUUUUCCUUUCAAACCAGCAAAUUUGCAUUGCUUGAUUGUAUAUUAUGCAGAGAUCAGUAAUUGUUACUCCCAUCAAGUUAUCAGUUCAGAUUCUUUCUGGAUUCUGACAACAGGAUGACUUCUAGUCCUGGUUAAUUAAUUUAUUCUUUCAUGAAAUAUUUAUGGAAUUCCUCCUACAUGCUAGGUGCUGUUUAGGCACUGGGGAUACAGUGUAAAAUAUCCCUGCCUUUAUGGAGCUUAAAGUAUUGUUGUGCCUUUUGAUCUUACUCUGUGAAUUCCUGGAGUGGCAAUAUGAUGAGCUGCCAGACAGAUGUCAUUUGACACUGAAGUUCAACCGAAGACACAUAGGCAUAUCUAGUGAACUUUAAUUUUUGAAGUCAUUGUCAGUUCAACCUAUUUUAAUAUCCAUAAAUUGCUCAUUGAGGAAAUUACAUUUUUAAAAUAAAACCAUACAUCUUUGUGUAUAUUUCCUACAUGAACUUUCAAAAUAAUAAUUCCUUUAGUUCUUUAGUAUUUCAAAAGCAUUUUAGCCCAUCUACCACAUUAUUUAUGGGCACAGUUGACUCAGAAAGAUUAAGUAAACUGCUCAAGGGAUAUACCCAAGUAAGUAAAGAAGCUGAAACUCAACCCACGCCUUCUGACUCCAAGCUUAGUACUCUUUCCAUUAUACUAGUCAAAUUUGCAGUUUCCAGCACUUUCUACAUUGAUGUGUAAUUCAUCAGGUUCAUAGGGCAACAGAUAAUAAACUCUUCUACUAAAGCAAUUUCAAUUAUGUGCUUCACAAUUGAGUUAGACGAUGGAUUGUUUCCAAGACUGCCUGUCAGUAUUUCAAAAUGUUGUGUUUAUUCACUAACCUCCUGCCUCCUUUCCUGUUAGAGUCGGCCUGUUCUGAGAUCUCAGAAUCAAUAUUCUUUCAAAGCUACAUGCCUCCUUAUGAGGAAGCACUCACUUGAUUAUUGUCGAUAAGUUGAAAACACAACGAAGGCUACAUGAUGUCUUGACCUACUUCUAUUAAAUUAAAACUUCUGUUUCAUAUUUUGGUUUCUUUUUUCUCCUGACAGAUACAAUUUAGGAACCUUGUAAGAAAGAGUUUAUCCUUUUUCUCAUACUUCAGAGUAGGUAAAAUGUAACUUUUCAAGUCUGAGAUCUUUUUUUUAAUCUGGAUUUUUACUUAAGAAAUGCAUCAUCACUUUCACUGCGUUGCUAGAAAACUUUCUUUUAUCUUUUAGUUCUAACAGCUCAUUAUGUAUUUAAUGGGCUCAGUCAGUUACCUAUCUAACAUGACCUACUGAGCAUCCAUUUUAUACAAGGUAAAAAUUUAGUUCCUAUACACCUGAUUACUCCAGUUUAUGGAAUGGUUUUCAAGUUUCUGCACUGGUUCUAGGUCCUCAGAGCAUCUGAUAUUGAAAGGUGAUCUAUCCCUUGGACAUGUAUCCAGCAAUCCCUUUGUUCACAAGCGAGAAAUCCUACAACUACAUUUGAGAAAACACACCAAUGUAUAGCAAAGUUAAUUCAAGAAAAACUUCCAAGCUAAAAACUGAAACAAAACAAAGCGAAAAACAAGAGAUUUGCCACAAGGAUUUGAGCUAAUAUGGUUUUGGGAACUGGCUAACCAGUCCCUGGAAAGUGGCAGCCUUUGCCUCUGACACUGGAGCUUGAAGUCAACAAAGCAGACCAUUGGGAAGAGGAAACGGAUGUAGAGUUGGGAGGAACGAGAACAAGCAUCCCUUCAUGAUGAACUCAAGCAAGAAGAGCCUGGAAUCCAUGUCAGUUCUCGCUGCCUCCAGUCUUGACCUGGGUGUCCUAUGGGAGAGGGUGGUGCCUGGACCAAAAUGCGAAACACACACUUGUCCCAGGAGCUGGAGGAGCUGAAGGAGCAGGUGAAACAGUUGCAGAUGGGGCUGCAGAUCCUCUCCAACAACGUGAGCCAGCAGGGAAGCAAGGACCACAUGAGCCACAAAAUGGUUGCUGCUUCACUGUUUAUUCUCCAAAUUCCCCACAAGACUCUUUCCUGUGGCCCACCCUUACCAGAAGCAUACAGGAAAGAGAAUUCUGGGGAAAACAGUGCCACCUAGCCUAGUCACCAUGUUAUGGAGCCAUCACACUUUGGGUACUUUCCCAAGAGUUUUUAACAGAUUUAUUUUAAAAUGUCAAAUUUGGAAUACAUCAGAAUUUAUAUUCUUUGCAAUUAUUUAAACUUAAGCUGAGUAGUUUUCCCUGUGAACUUAAAAAUGUGUGCGAGAGUACACAGUUUUAUCAAUUACUUUAGAAAGCAUCUAAGUAAAAAUGUUUGAAGAUCCCUGAGAUAGUGCUUAAUUUACAGAAAUUGUUAAGAAAGGAGAAACAAGUUGGGCAUCAUUCCCUAAGGUGGGAUGCUGGCUGCAGAUGCAGGUACAGAUGGGGAGAUUUCUGACCAGCCCAAAAAGCCAGCCCAAGAAAGCAGAUGUCCCAUUGCCUGAGGGGUCACUCUCCAGAUAUAAUCAUGAUGUUACUAACUGGUGCCCUCUUCUUCCUAAUCUUCUGUGCCUAUCUUCUUCAGACUCCUGAGGCUGGACAGUUUCUACAUGUGGACUCAGACCCUGAUCAGACAGAGCUCCAAGCAGUUGCUUUGCAUUCCUCUGGACUCAGCCUCAUUCCUCAGCUCCUUGACCUGAAUAUAUAUCCUGCCUUCUUUGGUUGUAUGGUGGCCCCCAAAUGAAUAUAUGAACAUUUGAUGAAAAGUGCGGUUACCUUUAAAAAGGCUAGUAUGUGAAAUGUCUCUAUCCAAAACCAGAAGAUAAGUUUGACUCCUCAAGGUCAGCUCUUGAAAAGACUCUUGAGUCAGAUGAGCACAAGGCUUGAUUCCACCUUUGGUGGAGAUGCAUGCAGUAGGACAUCAGGACCUGAUGCUGCUCUAUGUUUGAAUCACAUGGUGUUUUGGAUUGAAUGUUUGCGUCCCCUUAAAAUCCAUGUUGAAAUCCUAAUGCCCAAUGUGAUGCAAUGUGCUGAUAUGAAGAAGUGGGGAUUCUGGAAAGUAAUCAGAUUGUGAAGAUGAAGCCCUAAUGAAUUGGAUUAGUACCCUCAUAAGAAGAGAUAGGAGAGUUUGCUCUCUCUGUUCUCCCAUAUGUGAGGAUACAAGGAGAGGAUGGCCAUCUGCAAACAGGAAGUGUUACCACCAGGCACUGGAUCUGGGACUUCCCAGCUCCAGAAUUGAGAGAAAUAAGUGUUUGUUGUUUAAGCCACCCAAUCUAUAGUACUUUUGUGAUCACAGCCCCAACUGACUAAGGCUUGUAGUGAAUUCCUUUUAUUCUCAUCCCUUCCUUAUCAAGCAUUCCUCUCAUGUUUUGAUUUCCCAAGUAGCAGGAAUUACAUGCUGGCUAAGCUGAUACAAAAAGUUUGAUCUGCUUAAUGACCUGUCCACAUUUAUUUUUGCAAGUUAAUAAAUUGAAAUUUAUUUUUCAUUUAGAAAAUUAGGUGCCAGAAUUCCUUGAUAGGGGCUGAUUUAAUCGUAAUAUGAUUUAACAUGAAGACUGCUUAGCAGAGAGGUUAAAAGGUCAGCUUCUGGAUCAUGACUGCUGGGAUUCAAAUUUUAUCUCUACUGCUUAUUAGCUGUAUGUCCCUCACAAAUUUCUGGGCCUUGGUUUCCUGAUCUAUAAAUUAUGAUGAAUAAUAGGAUUUAUAUGAGAAAAUUACAGUAUGUAUUAAAGGAAUUAAUACUUGUUAAGUGCUUAGAAUAGCAUCUGGCAAAAAAAGCACUAUAUAUGUUAAUAUCAUUAAAUAAAUGGGGUAAGUUAUGCAUACCUGUGAACUGAUCUCUUAGUUUUCUUUUUCAUUCCAUAUCUAAUUCUAAACCUUGUAUAUCUCCCAUUCAAUUUUUUUACAAUCAAUUUUUAGUAGGCUCAACCUCUUGAUUAUUUUGCUUAGCUCAAUUAGAAAGAAAUUAACAUUUGCAUGUUAAUAACCUGGAAUUAAACAUUUCCCACAUACCGAUCUUAUCAAAUGUCUCUCUGAGUCUAUCAAAAGAGGAUGUAUGGUAAGUCCCCUACAUACUAACCUUCAAGUUGCGAACUUUCAAAGAUGUGAACAUGCAUUCACAUGUCCAAUCAUGUAAGUUAGUUCACGUGUUUGGCGUACAUUGUCACGUGCGUGCAUCUUCUACACGUGGUUGUGCUUUUGUAUACUUUACUGUACAGUACUGUAUAGAGUAUAGUAGUACAGUAUCUUUAUUUCAAGCCCAAGAU